UACAGAGGUCCCAAGCGUUGUUCGGAUUCACUGGGCGUAAAGGGUGCGUAGGUGGUGAGGUAAGUCGGAUGUGAAAGCUCGGAGCUCAACUCCGAAAUGGCAUUGGAAACUACCUUGCUCGAGGGUUGGAGGGGGGACUGGAAUACUUGGUGUAGCAGUGAAAUGCGUAGAUAUCGAGAGGAACACUCGUGGCGAAGGCGAGCUACUGGACAACAUCUGACGCUGAGGCUCGAAGGCUAGGGGAGCAAAAGGG
rnacentral:rRNA from 1 species